rnacentral:rRNA from 1 species
UACGGAGGGUGCAAGCGUUGUCCGGAUUUAUUGGGUUUAAAGGGUGCGUAGGCGGACCAAAAAGUCAGUGGUGAAAUCUUACGGCUCAACCGUGAAAUUGCCAUUGAUACUGUUGGUCUUGAGUACAGUUGAGGUGGUUGGAAUGCGUAGUGUAGCGGUGAAAUGCAUAGAGAUUACGCAGAACGCCGAUUGCGAAGGCAGAUCACUAAGUUGUAACUGACGCUGAGGCACGAAAGCGUGGGGAGCGAACAGG